UUCCACUAACUUCUCUCUCUUAGAAUCUGUUUGCUCUGUAGGGAACCAGCCAUUAUGUUAUGGAGACAUUCAAGCAGCCUUGAGGAGAACACACAUGGUGUGGAAAUGAGGACUCAAACCAACAACCAGUACCAACUUGCCAGCAUUGUGAAUUGGCCAGUAUGCACGUAGGUCUUCCAGCCUUUGAAACCAUCAGAUUCCUGAAGCCCUGAUCUGCAUUUUGACUACAACCUUGGGAGAGAUCUGGAGGCAGAACCACUUGAUUAAGCUGCUCCCACAAAACUAUUUGAACAGAGUUGCUGUAUACAAAGGCUGUACUCAUGGCAGGUGCAGAGACGUACCUACGCUGCCCUGGUGUUCUCUGGAUCCUUUCCGGGCCACAUCCCCCAGUGUCAUAUUGGAGGGAAGGAGGGAAGAAGGGCACUUGUGGUUGACCUGGAAACAGAAAUGGAUCUGCCUGAAGUCUCCACCACUGGCGGAGGAGGGAAGACUGACUGGGACAGACAUCCAGGAGGUGGCACUGUGGAGUGUUGGCUUGGUGAACUUGAUGACAGAGGGUGCC